rnacentral:rRNA from 1 species
AUUGAACGCUGGCGGCAUGCUUUACACAUGCAAGUCGAACGGCAGCGCGGGCUUCGGCCUGGCGGCGAGUGGCGAACGGGUGAGUAAUGCAUCGGAACGUGCCCAGUAGUGGGGGAUAGCCCGGCGAAAGCCGGAUUAAUACCGCAUACGACCUGAGGGUGAAAGCGGGGGACCGAAAGGCCUCGCGCUAUUGGAGCGGCCGAUGUCGGAUUAGCUAGUUGGUGGGGUAACGGCUUACCAAGGCGACGAUCCGUAGCUGGUCUGAGAGGACGACCAGCCACACUGGGACUGAGACACGGCCCAGACUCCUACGGGAGGCAGCAGUGGGGAAUUUUGGACAAUGGGGGCAACCCUGAUCCAGCCAUGCCGCGUGCGGGAAGAAGGCCUUCGGGUUGUAAACCGCUUUUGUUCGGGAAGAAAUCCUCUGGGCUAAUACCCCGUGGGGAUGACGGUACCGGAAGAAUAAGCAGCGGCUAACUACGUG